UGCCAGCCGCCGCGGUAAUACGUAGGGACCAAGCGUUGUCCGGAAUUAUUGGGCGUAAAGAGCUCGUAGGCGGUUCGGUAAGUCAGGUGUGAAAGUCAGGGGCUCAACCCCUGAAUGCCACUUGAUACUGCUGUGACUAGAGUCCGGUAGAGGAGUGUGGAAUUCCUAGUGUAGCGGUGAAAUGCGCAGAUAUUAGGAGGAACACCAGCGGCGAAGGCGGCACUCUGGGCCGGUACUGACGCUGAGGAGCGAAAGCAUGGGGAGCAAACAGGAUUAGAUA
rnacentral:rRNA from 1 species